UUAAGCGACUAAGCGUACACGGUGGAUGCCCUGGCAGUCAGAGGCGAUGAAGGACGUGCUAAUCUGCGAUAAGCGUCGGUAAGGUGAUAUGAACCGUUAUAACCGGCGAUUUCCGAAUGGGGAAACCCAGUGUGAUUCGUCACACUAUCAUUAACUGAAUCCAUAGGUUAAUGAGGCGAACCGGGGGAACUGAAACAUCUAAGUACCCCGAGGAAAAGAAAUCAACCGAGAUUCCCCAAGUAGCGGCGAGCGAACGGGGAGCAGCCCAGAGCCUGAAUCAGUGUGUGUGUUAGUGGAAGCGUCUGGAAAGGCGCGCGAUACAGGGUGACAGCCCCGUACACAAAAAUGCACAUGCUGUGAGCUCGAUGAGUAGGGCGGGACACGUGGUAUCCUGUCUGAAUAUGGGGGGACCAUCCUCCAAGGCUAAAUACUCCUGACUGACCGAUAGUGAACCAGUACCGUGAGGGAAAGGCGAAAAGAACCCCGGCGAGGGGAGUGAAAAAGAACCUGAAACCGUGUACGUACAAGCAGUGGGAGCACGCUUAGGCGUGUGACUGCGUACCUUUUGUAUAAUGGGUCAGCGACUUAUAUUCUGUAGCAAGGUUAACCGAAUAGGGGAGCCGAAGGGAAACCGAGUCUUAACUGGGCGUUAAGUUGCAGGGUAUAGACCCGAAACCCGGUGAUCUAGCCAUGGGCAGGUUGAAGGUUGGGUAACACUAACUGGAGGACCGAACCGACUAAUGUUGAAAAAUUAGCGGAUGACUUGUGGCUGGGGGUGAAAGGCCAAUCAAACCGGGAGAUAGCUGGUUCUCCCCGAAAGCUAUUUAGGUAGCGCCUCGUGAAUUCAUCUCCGGGGGUAGAGCACUGUUUCGGCAAGGGGGUCAUCCCGACUUACCAACCCGAUGCAAACUGCGAAUACCGGAGAAUGUUAUCACGGGAGACACACGGCGGGUGCUAACGUCCGUCGUGAAGAGGGAAACAACCCAGACCGCCAGCUAAGGUCCCAAAGUCAUGGUUAAGUGGGAAACGAUGUGGGAAGGCCCAGACAGCCAGGAUGUUGGCUUAGAAGCAGCCAUCAUUUAAAGAAAGCGUAAUAGCUCACUGGUCGAGUCGGCCUGCGCGGAAGAUGUAACGGGGCUAAACCAUGCACCGAAGCUGCGGCAGCGACGCUUAUGCGUUGUUGGGUAGGGGAGCGUUCUGUAAGCCUGCGAAGGUGUGCUGUGAGGCAUGCUGGAGGUAUCAGAAGUGCGAAUGCUGACAUAAGUAACGAUAAAGCGGGUGAAAAGCCCGCUCGCCGGAAGACCAAGGGUUCCUGUCCAACGUUAAUCGGGGCAGGGUGAGUCGACCCCUAAGGCGAGGCCGAAAGGCGUAGUCGAUGGGAAACAGGUUAAUAUUCCUGUACUUGGUGUUACUGCGAAGGGGGGACGGAGAAGGCUAUGUUGGCCGGGCGACGGUUGUCCCGGUUUAAGCGUGUAGGCUGGUUUUCCAGGCAAAUCCGGAAAAUCAAGGCUGAGGCGUGAUGACGAGGCACUACGGUGCUGAAGCAACAAAUGCCCUGCUUCCAGGAAAAGCCUCUAAGCAUCAGGUAACAUCAAAUCGUACCCCAAACCGACACAGGUGGUCAGGUAGAGAAUACCAAGGCGCUUGAGAGAACUCGGGUGAAGGAACUAGGCAAAAUGGUGCCGUAACUUCGGGAGAAGGCACGCUGAUAUGUAGGUGAAGUCCCUCGCGGAUGGAGCUGAAAUCAGUCGAAGAUACCAGCUGGCUGCAACUGUUUAUUAAAAACACAGCACUGUGCAAACACGAAAGUGGACGUAUACGGUGUGACGCCUGCCCGGUGCCGGAAGGUUAAUUGAUGGGGUUAGCGCAAGCGAAGCUCUUGAUCGAAGCCCCGGUAAACGGCGGCCGUAACUAUAACGGUCCUAAGGUAGCGAAAUUCCUUGUCGGGUAAGUUCCGACCUGCACGAAUGGCGUAAUGAUGGCCAGGCUGUCUCCACCCGAGACUCAGUGAAAUUGAACUCGCUGUGAAGAUGCAGUGUACCCGCGGCAAGACGGAAAGACCCCGUGAACCUUUACUAUAGCUUGACACUGAACAUUGAGCCUUGAUGUGUAGGAUAGGUGGGAGGCUUUGAAGUGUGGACGCCAGUCUGCAUGGAGCCGACCUUGAAAUACCACCCUUUAAUGUUUGAUGUUCUAACGUUGACCCGUGAUCCGGGUUGCGGACAGUGUCUGGUGGGUAGUUUGACUGGGGCGGUCUCCUCCUAAAGAGUAACGGAGGAGCACGAAGGUUGGCUAAUCCUGGUCGGACAUCAGGAGGUUAGUGCAAUGGCAUAAGCCAGCUUGACUGCGAGCGUGACGGCGCGAGCAGGUGCGAAAGCAGGUCAUAGUGAUCCGGUGGUUCUGAAUGGAAGGGCCAUCGCUCAACGGAUAAAAGGUACUCCGGGGAUAACAGGCUGAUACCGCCCAAGAGUUCAUAUCGACGGCGGUGUUUGGCACCUCGAUGUCGGCUCAUCACAUCCUGGGGCUGAAGUAGGUCCCAAGGGUAUGGCUGUUCGCCAUUUAAAGUGGUACGCGAGCUGGGUUUAGAACGUCGUGAGACAGUUCGGUCCCUAUCUGCCGUGGGCGCUGGAGAACUGAGGGGGGCUGCUCCUAGUACGAGAGGACCGGAGUGGACGCAUCACUGGUGUUCGGGUUGUCAUGCCAAUGGCACUGCCCGGUAGCUAAAUGCGGAAGAGAUAAGUGCUGAAAGCAUCUAAGCACGAAACUUGCCCCGAGAUGAGUUCUCCCUGACUCCUUGAGAGUCCUGAAGGAACGUUGAAGACGACGACGUUGAUAGGCCGGGUGUGUAAGCGCAGCGAUGCGUUGAGCUAACCGGUACUAAUGAACCGUGAGGCUUAACCUU
rnacentral:rRNA from 1 species